UACAGGGGGUGCAAACGUUGCUCGGAAUCAUUGGGCGUAAAGCGCACGUAGGCGGUUCGUUAUGUCGGAUGUGAAAGCCCUUGGCUUAACCGAGGAAGUGCAUCCGAAACUGGCGAGCUAGAGUACUAAAGAGGAUCGCGGAAUUCCGGGUGUAGCGGUGAAAUGCGUAGAUAUCCGGAGGAACACCGGUGGCGAAGGCGGCUUCCUGGGACCGACACUGACGCUGAGGCGCGAAAGCUAGGGGAGCAAACGGG
rnacentral:rRNA from 1 species